GGUAACUUGGUGCAGAGCAGGGGCUGGAGCUCAUCAGGAGAUAACAAGCUGCUUGACCUUCAGGGACUUCACAUACGUACUGCCAAACAACUGCAUGCAUUUUGUGCGCUGACUGGAUACACAGAUUCCUUCAAAAAGGCACCGAUGAUUCCUUUAGAGAAAGCAAAUGUUCCCAGCUCGUACAUUCAGUGCAGCACUGAAGAGUUUUUGCUGCUGUGCAAAUUACCCUCCAAAGCGCAUCAAGCAAUGAGCGCAUCCAGACAAAAUAUCAGCUGUGACACGCACAUCUGCUUUAAGAACACUGGAAUUACAGAGGGGAUCCAGCCUCCCACUGAGAGAACAGAGGAUGGCUACAGAAAGGUGCAGAGCUCUGCUGUCCAGUUCUCAUCACCUAAGUGCACUAAA